CCAUUUUUGGCUCGAUGCUGGAGUGGUACGACUUUUACUUGUACGCAACCAUGGCGGCCAUUGUGUUCUCGAAGAUCUUCUUCGAUAACAGC
rnacentral:tRNA from 1 species